ACGAACGCUGGCGGCGUGCUUAACCCAUGCAAGUCGAACGGAAAGGCCCUGCUUUUGUGGGGUGCUCGAGUGGCGAACGGGUGAGUAACACGUGAGUAACCUGCCCUUGACUUUGGGAUAACUUCAGGAAACUGGGGCUAAUACCGGAUAGGAGCUCCUGCUGCAUGGUGGGGGUUGGAAAGUUUCGGCGGUUGGGGAUGGGCUCGCGGCUUAUCAGCUUGUUGGUGGGGUAGUGGCUUACCAAGGCUUUGACGGGUAGCCGGCCUGAGAGGGUGACCGGCCACAUUGGGACUGAGAUACGGCCCAGACUCCUACGGGAGGCAGCAGUGGGGAAUAUUGCACAAUGGGCGGAAGCCUGAUGCAGCAACGCCGCGUGCGGGAUGACGGCCUUCGGGUUGUAAACCGCUUUCGCCUGUGACGAAGCGUGAGUGACGGUAAUGGGUAAAGAAGCACCGGCUAACUACGUG
rnacentral:rRNA from 1 species